GGACCUGUGGUCUAGUAGCUACGGUAAAACGCUGCAAAUGACGUCCGCCUGACUCGCGGGAGAUCCCCGGUGCAAAUCCGGGCAGGUCCA
rnacentral:tRNA from 1 species